GUGAGCCAAGACAGCACCACUGCACUCCAGCCUGGGCGACAGAGCGAGACUCCAUCUCAAAAACAAAACAAAACAAAACAAAACAAACUGAAAAGAGAAUUGCUUUGGAAAUGGGCCCAGGUUUGGGGAAAAGUUAUAUUUUAUAUAUUAUUUGUAUGAGUUUUGUAUCACUGUACGUUUUACUUUCAAAAUUAAAUAAAAAGUUUAAGACAAUUAAAGGAAGCAUCUAUGAAUUAAUAAGAAUUCUAAACUUUAUUUUUCCUAUUUAGGAAGUCAAUUGUGGAAGGAAAUGUCAUAUUCAACAUCUUAAUGAGGAAUAGGGUCGAGGAGUGAAAAGAAGACAGGAUUCAGUCAGAAGAGCUGAGUUCUGGUUCCUCCACAUAAUACCAUGGCUGUAGAAGUGACACAUAUUCUAAGCCUCAAUUUUUUGGCUGACUUUCCUCAUUCAUAAGGUUGUUGUGAAAAACAAAGCAAAACUAAUCAAUAUGAGUAAACUGCUAUGAAACACUGUCUAUUAUAUGUUUUCUUGAUAAACAUUUAUUGAGUGCUGUCUUUCAGUUGGUCUCCUGUGUUAGUAGCUUGUCAUACAGAGCUUCAAGAAGUCAAGCUUCAGGCCAUAGUCACAAAGAAUUCAGCUCUGAUUUGGAGAGAUAAAUAAGUACUUAGGGUGAGGUUGUGUACUAACAAACCCACUGUAAAGUCAAAAAAUUGUAAGCCAAACCGUCAAAAGUAAGAGACUGUAUAUGUAACUAUGUGUGUGUGUGUUGUUGUUUUUAAGAUGUGUUUUGGACAAACGAAAGUAAAAUCUCAUUUAAAAGAUUGAUUUUAAAAGCUUCCUCAAAGUUUUGUCAGUGCAUUAUUAGAGAUCCAGCCCAAUAUUUGUCAUCAUUUGUAUCUAUUAUUGCAGACAAUGAGAAUAAAUGUUUACAAGGUGAUGCAGCUAUGCUAUGUGAAUCACCAAAGAUUAAAUAAUCAUCAGUAUACAUUUGUGUGACAUAUUUUUGCUUGUAUUUUAUAGAUGUAAAAACAAAUAAUUCAUCUAUAAUAAAAAUGAUUGGCUGGGCGCAGUGGCUCACGCCUGUAAUCCCAGCCCUUUGGGAGGCCGAUGUGGGCGGAUCAUGUGGUCCGGAGACCGAGACCAUCCUGGCUAACAUGGUGAAACCCCGUCUCUACUAAAAAUACAAAAAAUUAGCCGGGCGUGGUGACAGGUGCCUGUAGUCCCAGCUACUCGGAAGGCUGAGGCAGGAGAAUGGGUGAACCCCAGAGGCGGAGCUUGCAGUGACCUGAGAUCGCGCCACUGCACUCCAGCCUGGGAGACAGAGCAAGACUCCAUCACAAAAAAAAAAAAAAAAAAAAAAAAAAAAAAAAAAAAAAAAAAAAAAAUCGCACUUUCUAGAAUUCUAGCUUGUUUGCAACACACUAUUCCAUGAUGACAAUGUCAGAUAAAUUAGCUUUCUCUAUUAAAAAAGAAAAGCACUUUCUGGUUUAAAUUAUGGAUUAUGAAAAGUAAAUGGUUUGUGGAUAAACUGAAGAUGCUUUUGCCAAAACUAGAAUUUUUUAAAGAAGAAAAUGAUUUGGAAAGGUUGUUCCUACAGCUAGAAUUUCUCAAGAGUUGAAGCAGAGCCUUUAUAUAUUUAAAUUAAAGUGAAAAUAGAAAGUUUAAAAUAUCCCUCUUGCACCUUUAAAAAUAAAGACUCCACUGUGUUCAUUCAAUCAUUAGAGUCCUUUGGUUCACAAGUUCUACAAGUGAUUUGUCUGAAGGGACUGAAUUUUUGUAACUGAAUUAAUGACCUAUUUUGAUCAAUUAUCUCUAUACCUAAAGAACCUCAGAAAUUACCCACGUCAAUAUACUCUCUCAAGUGGCUUAUUUUUCAAAACCUUUCUCACAUUCCUACUUGUGUUUAGUUUGAUCUUUAAAUAGAAUGUUAUAUAAAAUGCUUCUUGAAAACUGUAGUGCUUGAAAAAAAUUCAUGGAAUAAUUAAAGCAAUAUUCUUAAACAAAA
rnacentral:lncRNA from 1 species